AUUUAAAUAGUUUAUAAAAAUAUUGAAUUGUGAUUUCAAAGAUGUUUUAAUACUUUAAAUU
rnacentral:tRNA from 1 species